UACAGAGGUCUCAAGCGUUGUUCGGAUUCAUUGGGCGUAAAGGGUGCGUAGGCGGCGCGGUAAGUCGGGUGUGAAAUCUCGGAGCUUAACUCCGAAACUGCAUUCGAUACUGCCGUGCUUGAGGACUGGAGAGGAGACUGGAAUUUACGGUGUAGCGGUGAAAUGCGUAGAGAUCGGGCGGAACACCAGCGGCGAAGGCGGCAUCCUGGCCCGUACCUGACGCUGAGGCGCGAGAGCGUGGGGAGCAAACCGG
rnacentral:rRNA from 1 species